rnacentral:rRNA from 1 species
AUUGAACGCUGGCGGCGGGCCUAACACAUGCAAGUCGAACGAGUGGCGGACGGGUGAGUAAUGUAUGGGAAACUGCCUGAUGGAGGGGGAUAACUUGUAGAAACGGUAGAUAAUACCGCAUACCAUCAUAUGUCCCCAUAUGGGGUUCGCGUGGUGGUGGGGUAACGGCUCACCAAGGCGACGAUCCCUAGCGGGUCUGAGAGGAUGAACAGCCACACUGGAACUGAGCCACGGUCCAGACUCCGACGGGAGGCAGCAGUGGGGAAGAUUGCACAAUGGGCGCAAGCCUGAUACAGCCAUGCCGCGUGUAUGAAGAAGGCCUUCGGGUUGUAAAGUACUUUCAGCGGGGAGGCGUUACCCGCAGAAGAAGCACCGGCUAACUCCGUGCCAGCAGCCGCGGUAAUUC